ACGCUCGACACCUACGGGGGCAGCAGUGGGGAAUAUUGCACAAUGGGGGAAACCCUGAUGCAGCGACGCCGCGUGAAGGAAGAAGUAUCUCGGUAUGUAAACUUCUAUCAGCAGGGAAGAAAAUGACGGUACCUGACUAAGAAGCCCCGGCUAACUACGUGCCAGCAGCGCGGUAAUCUGAGGCGGGCUGGCAAGGC
rnacentral:rRNA from 1 species